AGGCCUAACACAUGCAAGUCGAACGGCAGCACAGGAGAGCUUGCUCUCUGGGUGGCGAGUGGCGGACGGGUGAGGAAUACAUCGGAAUCUACUCUGUCGUGGGGGAUAACGUAGGGAAACUUACGCUAAUACCGCAUACGACCUACGGGUGAAAGCAGGGGACCUUCGGGCCUUGCGCGAUUGAAUGAGCCGAUGUCGGAUUAGCUAGUUGGCGGGGUAAAGGCCCACCAAGGCGACGAUCCGUAGCUGGUCUGAGAGGAUGAUCAGCCACACUGGAACUGAGACACGGUCCAGACUCCUACGGGAGGCAGCAGUGGGGAAUAUUGGACAAUGGGCGCAAGCCUGAUCCAGCCAUACCGCGUGGGUGAAGAAGGCCUUCGGGUUGUAAAGCCCUUUUGUUGGGAAAGAAAUCCAGCUGGCUAAUACCCGGUUGGGAUGACGGUACCCAAAGAAUAAGCACCGGCUAACUUCGUGCCAGCAGCCGCGGUAAUACGAAGGGUGCAAGCGUUACUCGGAAUUACUGGGCGUAAAGCGUGCGUAGGUGGUCGUUUAAGUCCGUUGUGAAAGCCCUGGGCUCAACCUGGGAACUGCAGUGGAUACUGGGCGACUAGAAUGUGGUAGAGGGUAGCGGAAUUCCUGGUGUAGCAGUGAAAUGCGUAGAGAUCAGGAGGAACAUCCAUGGCGAAGGCAGCUACCUGGACCAACAUUGACACUGAGGCACGAAAGCGUGGGGAGCACACAGGAUUAGAUACCCUGGUAGUCCACGCCCUAAACGAUGCGAACUGGAUGUUGGGUGCAAUUUGGCACGCAGUAUCGAAGCUAACGCGUUAAGUUCGCCGCCUGGGGGAGUACGGUCGCAAGACUGAAACUCAAAGGAAUUGACGGGGGCCCGCACAAAGCGGUGGAGUAUGUGGUUAAAUUCG
rnacentral:rRNA from 1 species